CAAACUUUGUGGUCAUAGGUCAGCUUGCCAAAACAUGAAAUCAAGACCCACUUUGGAAUAUAUCAUGAACAUUGGAGCUGCUGCUUUUUCUUCAUCCACAUGGUGGACCACUCAGAGUAAAAUACUUUUUCAAAUCCUCAUCACCUCUCGAUAACUACAAUCUAACAACUACUGGUCUACAGUUAUAGUGUUUUGACUGCACACUGCCGACUCUAAAAGAUCGACCAUAUCUGGAGCAAUGGUCACCCCUACAUGUUUUGAUGACUACAGUCUUUACAGUGUCCUGUCAGAUGAGGAGCUGAUGAAGCUGGCCAUCGAUCGCAGCCUCAUUGAGGACAACAACUCUAUUGGGUCAAUUCAAUCAUCACAAUCUGUGGAUCGACAACCCAAUUACCAGCCAAACCAAUUUACGACUCGUGUCAGGCUCCCCUCUGCAAACAAGGCACAUGUAUGACUUUCCCGAGCCAAUCCAAACCCAGCCAACCCACAUCCAAACCCAUCACCUGCAAACCCUCCAUCAGCAGACCCUAUUGUAGAUGCAAGACCCCUGGUGAAUGUGAUCAAGAAUGGGGAUUUAAAGGCUCUGAAAGAGAUAGUGAAAUGCAACCCAAUGAGUCUCUUGGUACCAAAUGAGGGAGGAUGGAUGUCUCUCCACGAAGCUGCAUAUUACGGUCAAAUAGAAUGCCUCAAGAUUAUAUUAAGAGCCCAUCCUGGUAUGGUGAACACAUGUGGUAGUUACAAUCAGACCCCACUUCUUUUGGCUGCCGCCUUUCACCGAGUGAACUGUGUUGAGUGCCUUCUGGACAGAGGUGCCAAUCCAGACAUUGCCAAUGAGAAUGGAGAAACACCACUCU